AUUAUAUACAUACAUAUAUAUUAUAAACAUUUGUAAAAUUUUCAGAAAUCUAUAAAUUAAAUGGCUCGCUCAUAUGUUGGAAUAUAAGUGAAGGUCUUCUGGUCUGAGUUUCCACACUUUCGCAUACGAUGGCAAUUUCAAUCACUUUUGUGGUUUAUAAAAUUUUCAAUCUGGUAACACAUUACUUAUCUUUCGUUUUUCUUCUUUAUUUCUAAUACAAUAAAGUGAAUGCGAAAGCCGGAAUGAUCUGAAUAUUAAAACUAAUUAAACUAAAUAUAUGUAAGUCUUUCAAUAAAUAAAUAAUCUGUUAAGACGGAUCAACCCAGUUAUUAUGUAAUCGGUAAAAAAUUUCUCUUUAAACGUUGGAACGUUUUGACGCGUCUGCAAUUUCUCUAUGUAUUCGAUACGUUUUUUUGUUCUCGUGCGUAAAAUUGCUUUUUCUUGCUUGGAACGUGCAUUAUGUGUGUGUAUGUCCAGAUAAAUGGCGCCUAACUUAACUAUGUUAGAUUCGAUAAAGUAAUGCGACCAAUUGAUCGGGUCAUACAAUUAGGAGGCAGUGUAACUCUCAAUUGGAAAUACAAAUUAACCAUUCCGCGCAGAAAUAAUAAGAGCACAACACAUUUGAUUGAAAAGGCAAUACAUCAAGGCUAACCUUACAUCAACAUGCAAAUGUUGAGUACAGAAAGUCCACAUUGACUUCACCAAAUAGGAAAUUCAUAUGCAAAUAUUUUGUAUAAAUAUCUUUAUUCCCAGACUAUGAUGCCAUCAUCAAGUUCGAGCCAAGUUAAUUGGAUUUAGGCUUAUUGAUGAUUUCAAUAAUUCAAGCGUUUACAUGCCGUCAAAAAGAAACCAUUAAAAUUAAUGGUAAUAGUAGUAUUUGCGAUAAAGCAUUCCUUUCUUCUUUCACUAACCAAAUGCACUAAAUAUAAAUAUAUUGAUGUAACGAGCCAUUCAAGACCAACAGCCAGCAGAAAAUAGCACGCUUUAGCAGAUCAAACAUUAAAUUUAAGCGAUGACUAAUGGCAGAAAAAUGAAAAAUAUAAAAAGUGCUAAAUUUAUAACAAUUAUAGAAAAUUUUGGUUAAUUAAACGAUUAACUAUCCGAAUAAACUAAGUUAGUUCCUUACGAUAGGCUUCACAGUAAACAUUAAAGAUGUAAUAAAGCUUGCAUGCUUUAAAUAAAUGAAAAAACUUUCCACCAUUUUCAAACUUCCUUUAUGUAAAAAGGAUAGAAAUGGAGCUGCUAUAUCACUUAUAAUAUCCAUAUCUGCAGGUGAAGUGAAAUUGAAAAAAAAGAGAACAAAACAGACUUUACGGCUUUUUUCCAUUAGCUAUUAAAAAUGAUAAUUCGUUUACAGAUCUGUGUUUCUCAUAGGCAAAGCAGUAAACUGGAAUAAAAUUCUUCGUAUUGAUAAUAAUCGAGAGCAUUUUCCUUUGUCAUGAUAUUAAUUACUUUUAUGGGGAUUGAAAGCAAAGAAAUAGGUUUAAAAUUUCUUAGAUUAUUUAUGUCUUCAGCUAGCUAAUGAAUAGACAAUAUUUGCAUGCAUCGCCAGUCACCCGUGAUUAUUUAACCAGCAAUGAUUGAUAGUAAACAACAAGGCUGAGCGGUAUUCAUUGCAAAGAGCUUUUAUUUAGGCAAAACUUGAUCCCACCAGAGAAAGCAUUACUAGACUUUCUUUUCAGUUUGCAGAAUAUGUGUAAGUCAGGUGGGAAGGAUUGCAUGGAGGGCAUGUCAGAAUGAUUACCAAUCGGCACAUAAUUCUUUGGAUAACAAGUCAAGAUACCGUUAGUUAUCACGAUCGUAUCAUGUGGAAAAUGUAGUUGCUGCUUUGCGAUGUAUUUGAAGAUGCUCAUUAACAUAUGUUCAGAAGGAUCGUGCAUUACCGCUAUCGUCAAAUAUCAUAGAGAAUCAGCAUAGCUAAUCGCUCUCUCUUUACAAGCUUGUUAUCUAAAGAAGGAUUCAAAAAAGAUCAAUAAAUUGCUGUUAAAAACCUCAGUCUGGGAUUGAAACUUCUUUGAAUUGAUGACAUAUUAUGUCAACUUCGGACAGGCAAUUCCGUAUAAAUUUACAUGAAGUGCAAUUCUCAAUAUUUUUUAAAGAGUCUGUAAAUGACUGAAAAACGACGAGAAUAUACUGAAAGUUAAUCAUUAAAGCCAUCCUUAAAUGAUUGUAUUUGAAAAUUUCUAUUGUGUAUCCAAUUGGUCGGUUUCAAUUUGUGUGUUUAUUUCUUUAUUACUCCACUAUUUCCUGUGAAAAUUAACUUGUAAAAAACGCAUAUAUAUAAAAUACUUCCAUAAAACUUAAAACGUUAUGACUUUACUGCAGGAAGGUCAUAACAUCCAAUGCCUCUACUAGGGCCUUCUAUUUAUGCAGCGUUGACUCUUAAUAAUAUAGAUUGCUUAUAGUGUUGUAUUUGUAAAUCCUUAGUUAUUGAUUAACAAUAGUUAACAUUAUCAUUCACCAUGUUAUGAAACCAUCUAGCUUCUACAAUCUACACAAGUACAUUUCCUCCGUGAAGUCAGUUACUAGAAUGCCAUAUCGCUCACAAUCAAAAAAAUCACAAAGCUUUUAAAUUUCAUCACAAAAGUGAUGCGAGACAAUAGGAAUGUGUGGCUUUAUAUUUGUUGCCUUCAUAAUGACAUUGCCGGCAGCUGAUUUAUAAGGAAUACCUGGAUUACUUCAUUAAUCAAAAUGCUUUACUUCAUUAAUCAAUUGCUUUCCAAAUCGGCACCACAAAAUACUAACACACAUUAUGCGGCAGGUAAUUAUCUGAAAUUCUAAUGGGCAAAUAAAUAUGAUUGUAAAUAGGCCAAUUUUUCGACUUUGUCAGUUGACGCCGUAAAAGAAAUUUUUGCCAAAUGAAACACACACACACCUUGACGUGAGAAUUUACGAGGCCGAGUGUGACAUUCCAAGUAAGAAGCGAAAAUAAUCAUUCUAUGAUGAAAGAACAAAGACGAUUUGAAAAGGCUCUGGGCUCUGACACCUUGCAUUUGUUUAAACAGCAAAAACAGAAAAAGGAGAAACUGUCAAAUAAAAAGCGGAUGAUGAAAUUUUUAACAGAAAUUAAAGAAGAGCUUAAGUCGUUUUAUGAUAGAAAGUUACAGCUGGCCAAAGAAAUGAACGAUUUAAUUCGGCCACGUAAAUUCGAAAGUGAAGAUUUGGAACUC